GCCUUCCUAGCUCAGUUGGCAGUAGCGCUGUCCUAGUAAGACAGAGGUCUUGGGUUCGAUUCCCAAGGGAGGCA
rfam:Naegleria gruberi genomic scaffold NAEGRscaffold_86, whole genome shotgun sequence.